AAACGGAUAUUCUUUCAAUGCAAAUUACUUCAAAAUUAAUAAAAGUAUCAUAGAGUCCAUGUCACUUAGCAGGCUGUUGCUAUUUCAAAGAAAUGAAAUCCAGUUACUUUGUUACCAAUAAGACCAAAAUGUUUCUGCUGAAUUGAAGCAUAACAAUGCAAUUAUGGCGACUGGAAAUUCUCUAAUUGAUUUCAAGGAAAAGAUUGAGGCAGCUGUUUCCAUGGUGCCUUCCAUGACUGCAGAAGAAAAACUUAGAGCUGUUCAGCUGUGGAAUAUUUUGUCUGAGAAACUUCAAGAAAUAGUGAAUAAUUCAGCUGCAGAUAUAAAUGCACUUGCAUUCCAAGAGCCUCCCGCAUCUGUUGGUGCUCCAAGUUUUUUCUUUUAUCCACCAUCUAAACAGUCAACAGCACAAGAUGAAACUCCAGGGCCCUUUGCCACAGAAAAUAGCCAUGGCCAUAUUUCUAACAAAUUCCCAGUUAGAGACACCAUAGAAGCUGACAAUUCACUUGCCAGUUUUUCUGACAUUCAAUGUGCAGAUGAUGAGUCUAUUCAUAUGGAUGGCGUGUGCCCAUUAACACUUCCCUUAAGCAUUGAGGAGAGGAGUGAAGUUAGCUCUUCUGAACAACUACCAGAUGCUGAUAAAGGAAAAACCAAACAGUUUGAAUGCACAAUCUGUGGAGUUUCCUUUAGGACUAAAGGCCAUCUUUUAGAUCAUGGUAGAAAACAUACUGGUGAAAGACCGUUUCAUUGCCCCCAUUGUGGAAGCACGUUCACGACUGGAAGUAACCUUAAAAGACACGUAAAAUCACAUAUCGGUGAGAAAACCUGGACCUGUGUACAAUGCCACGCAAAAUUUCUGGAAAAGAAAACUUUACUGGUUCAUAUGAGGAGGCACACUGGCGAGAGACCAUAUCAGUGUUCAACCUGCAGCAAGCGUUUUAGUCAACUGAGUAUUUUGCAGUCUCACAUGGCUUCACAUGUCGAUCAACGAUGUCAUCUCUGUGAACUUUGUGGGAAAUCCUUCCGACAAAAAUCGCAAAUGAAAACUCAUUUGCUUAGACAUAAAGGAGAAGAAGUGAAAAAAUACUCCUGCCAAGAAUGCUCCAUGUCAUUCCUUACGAGUAGUGACUUCCGACGGCACGCCCGCGUUCAUACUGGUGAAAGACCGUUCAUCUGCGACUUGUGCGGAAAGAAGUUUACUCGUAUGGAGACGUUAAAUGAACAUAAAAAUCGACAUAACGGUAUCAAACCAUUUGUUUGCUCAAUAUGUGACAAAGCGUUUUCUGAGUCGUCGGGAUACGGAAAACAUAUGAAGAAACAUAACGUUAAAACGUCCGAGCCUGAGGCUUUAGAACAUCGUGUUUGAUACUGGUGAUAUUGUUCAACGUCAUUUAUAGCAUCAUCGUUACGGGUUUCGAACAUAAUUUUAAUUAAUGGAGCGGUAUUGAUAAAGUGAUGUCGAUCACUUCGACACUUCUAUCACCCGAAGUCUACCA